UCUCUCCAGUGAUCAGUAAGAUGGAUUUUACUGUGAUAGAUGAAUCUAUCGCUUUCAUGUUUAUCGUAUUAAACUUACAGAUUGUUAAAUACCAUGAAUUCUGUUGACCUGAAUAAAUUGAACAAAGAAUUCUUUCAGUCAUCCCAUUCAGAGAGUUCUUCACUGCUAGCAAUUGCUUUGAUGUGCUAUGGCAUCACUAGGAUUUAAAUCAUUCAGCAGUCCCUUCCUGAGCCUUGACUUGCCUAUUGCGUCUGUUUAUAUGCUGCUUCUCAUAYCAAAAGUACUCUGUGCUAAAUAGUAGAAGUGAGAGAAUGAGUCAUAUGACAUCUUUGUUUUUACUGUCACUGAGCCUGCACUUAUUUUAAUUGUGCAUGCUGCAUUUUGAUAUAAAGGUAUGAUCUUAAUUGUUCUUAUUGGCAUUUGAUAAUGUUUYAGAAAAUUCUG
rnacentral:lncRNA from 1 species